rnacentral:rRNA from 1 species
AACGAACGCUGGCGGCAGGCCUAACACAUGCAAGUCGAACGCGUCCUUCGGGACGAGUGGCAGACGGGUGAGUAACGCGUGGGAACGUACCCUUUGGUUCGGAACAACAGCGGGAAACUGCUGCUAAUACCGGAUAAGCCCUUCGGGGGAAAGAUUUAUCGCCAGAGGAUCGGCCCGCGUUAGAUUAGCUUGUUGGUGAGGUAAUGGCUCACCAAGGCUACGAUCUAUAGCUGGUCUGAGAGGAUGAUCAGCCACACUGGGACUGAGACACGGCCCAGACUCUUACGGGAGGCAGCAGUGGGGGAAUCUUGGACAAUGGGCGAAAGCCUGAUCCAGCCAUGCCGCGUGAAUGAUGAAGGCCCUAGGGUUGUAAAAUUCUUUCGACGGGGAAGAUAAUGACGGUACCCGUAGAAGAAGCUCCGGCUAACUUCGUGCCAGCAGCCGCG